rnacentral:misc_RNA from 1 species
UGUUUUCACUUCAUUGAUGAAGAUGAUGUUUUCCUUGACAAUGAUUUAUGUUUAUCAUUUGUUCAUUUGGAAAGUCAUUACUGUAGAUAAUGACCUUGCAAUGUGUGCAAGUUUCUUGGUUAUCAUUUUCUCUUUAAUGUUAUUAUUCUUCUUAUGUUUUUAAUAUUCUUGUUCUUAAAAUGGGAUUUGAUUGGUGCUUGUUUUUAUCAAUUUGUUCGUUUGGAAAGUCAUUGCUGUAUACAAUGACCUUGCAAUGUGUGCAUGUUUCUUGGUUACCAUUUUCUCUUUAACGUUCUUGUUCUUAAAAUGGGAUGUGAUUCGGGCC